AAAAGUCAUCUGUGGACGACACGCAGCGUCAAAUUUGCGAUAUUUUCCCAAAUUUUCAAUAUUUCUACCGCGAAAAAUCGCUUCAAUUAUUGUGUAGUUUGUUUUCCCCGGUCGCCAGCUCCAUUUUGCUGGUGGUUUGAUUAUUUUUAGUUCCAAGCAAGAUUAUUUGAUUUGCCCAUCGCGUGACCCCUCCGGGCUCAGAUUUACAGAACAAAGCGAAGAAGCAUAAAUUCCCUUCCCUAGAAAUUGAAACGCUAAUAGAAGGGGGUACAAACGAGUUUUGCAAAAUUGAAGACACUCAGAAGGGAGACAAACAAACUAGAAGGCGCCCGUGGUCAAGAUUCGCGCUUUUUGUGUGGAAGCUGCUGCCGGUGCGUGAAACAUAGUUUUCCCUCUCGGUUUCGUAGAACAUCCACGCACACGGAUUUUUGGCCUUUCUCUUGUCGUUCUUUUGCGGCGCGAAUUAGUUCGCGACCAAAUUGUAACGGGACUCUUCACGACAGCAGACAGUAGCCAGCGGUCAGCAGCAGCUUUCGAAGCGUAACAACA